rnacentral:rRNA from 1 species
AUGCACGCUGGCGGCGUGCCUAAUACAUGCACGUCGAGCGAACAGAUGAGGAGCUUGCUCCUCUGACGUUAGCGGCGGACGGGUGAGUAACACGUGGAUAACCUACCUAUAAGACUGGGAUAACUUCGGGAAACCGGAGCUAAUACCGGAUAAUAUAUUGAACCGCAUGGUUCAAUAGUGAAAGACGGUUUUGCUGUCACUUAUAGAUGGAUCCGCGCCGCAUUAGCUAGUUGGUAAGGUAACAGCUUACCAAGGCAACGAUGCGUAGCCGACCUGAGAGGGUGAUCGGCCACACUGGAACUGAGACACGGUCCAGACUCCUACGGGAGGCAGCAGUAGGGAAUCUUCCGCAAUGGGCGAAAGCCUGACGGAGCAACGCCGCGUGAGUGAUGAAGGUCUUCGGAUCGUAAAACUCUGUUAUUAGGGAAGAACAAAUGUGUAAGUAACUAUGCACGUCUUGACGGUACCUAAUCAGAAAGCCACGGCUAACUACGUG